rnacentral:rRNA from 4 species
CGACUCUCGGCAACGGAUAUCUCGGCUCUCGCAUCGAUGAAGAACGUAGCGAAAUGCGAUACUUGGUGUGAAUUGCAGAAUCCCGUGAACCAUCGAGUCUUUGAACGCAAGUUGCGCCCGAAACCAUUCGGUUGAGGGCACGUCUGCCUGGGCGUCACGCAUC